rnacentral:rRNA from 1 species
GACGAACGCUGGCGGCGUGCUUAACACAUGCAAGUCGAACGGAAAGGCACUGCUUCUGUGGGGCGCUCGAGCGGCGAACGGGUGAGUAACACGUGAGUAACCUGCUCUCGACUUUGGGAUAAUUUCAGGAAACUAGGGCUACUAACGGCUAGGAGCUCCUGCUGCACGGUGGGGGUUGGAAAGUUUCGGCGGUCGGGGAUGGAUUCUCGGGUGAUGAGCUUGUUGGUGGGGUAGUGGCUUACCACGUCUCUGACGGGUAGCCGUCCUGUGAGGGUGACCGGCCACAAUGGGACUGAGGGACGGCGCAGACGCCAACGGUAGGCAACAGUGGGGAAUAUUGCGCAGUGGUCGGGAGCCUGAUGCGGCGACGCCGCGUUCGGGAUGACGGCCUACGGAUUGUAAACCGCUUUCGCCUGUUACGAAGCGUGAGUGACGGUAAUGGGUAAAGAAGCACCGGCUAACUACGUG